rnacentral:rRNA from 1 species
CCUACGGGAGGCAGCAGUGGGGAAUAUUGGACAAUGGGCGAAAGCCUGAUCCAGCCAUGCCGCGUGUGUGAUGAAGGCCUUAGGGUUGUAAAGCACUUUUGUCCGGGAAGCUGUACCGGAAGAAUAAGCCCCGGCUAACUUCGUGCCAGCAGCCGCGGUAAUACGAAGGGGGCUAGCGUUGCUCGGAAUCACUGGGCGUAAAGGGCGCGUAGGCGGACUUUUAAGUCGGGGGUGAAAGCCCAGGGCUCAACCCUGGAAUUGCCUUCGAUACUGAGAGUCUUGAGUUCGGAAGAGGUUGGUGGAACUGCGAGUGUAGAGGUGAAAUUCGUAGAUAUUCGCAAGAACACCAGUGGCGAAGGCGGCCAACUGGUCCGAACUGACGCUGAGGCGCGAAAGCGUGGGGAGCAAACAGGAUUAGAUACCCUUGUAGUC